UGGCUUUUAUUUUGAAGUAUUUGCUUUUACUUUUGGGUCACAUAACUUCCUGUCCAUCGUCCCUCAGAAGGAAAAAAAGGCAAAAUAAAUAGUCAAAACAAAAAAAAAAAGUAUAAACGUUUUCACGGAAACAGGAAUGACAGGAAAUGCGCGUUUUAAAGAUGCGAAGAAGACGAUGUUAGCACAGGAAAUGACUCAUGUUUUGCUAUCUACGCCCGUUGUUAGCUUAGCACGUUAGCUGCUGUCAGACGGGUGUGUGCGGGGCAAACAUGUCAGCAGCUGCUGCUGAUGAAAGAAGUUCCCUCCGAGCAGCAGCAGUGCAGCUCCAGUGUGGACCAGGAGGAGGCGCCAGAGCACCCCCACAUUAAAGAGGAAGAGGAGGAAGUGAUAGAAACCUGAUUCCUCACAGCUUCAUCAUCACAGUCUCACUGAGGACAACAGAGACCACUGUGGACCACAAGAACCAGAACCAGCCAGCAGCUCAGGUCCACGGGGUCCUGAGGACCAGACUGAAGACAGUGACGAUGACGGGAAGGAGACGAGUGAAGCAUCCUCUGUAAGUGAAGACAGUGAGGACGAUUGGACAGAGACGAGUGAAGCACCAGUUUUAAAAACAGUUUCCAGUGAAGUGAGAGGAAACUCAGCUGUAGCUGCAGCAACAGUCAGUCACACUCUCUGACUGCAGGAAAAGCCACAACAGCAGGUCCAGUCUGAAAACUCAGCACAUGGCUGUGUCGCCUGUGGCAGAAUUUUUACCCAUAAGUCUCAGCUGCAGACUCAUACGCUCACACACACACACAACAGGGGGCGGAGCUUGUUCAUCCGUGAGUGAUUUGAAUGAUUGUGAUUUCAGACGUGAUGUCAAAUCUUCAUGAAUGAAAGCAUGAAAAUUCAUUUUGUUCACUUUUGUUUAUUCAACUUUUUAUAAAAGUAUCAGAAAAACUGACAACGUCAUCUGUUACCGGGUCAAACUGUCCUGAGCUGCAGCUGUGACAAGUCACUCUGUGAUUGGAGGAAAUGAGUGUGAUGUCAUUGUCUGGUCAUGUGACCAAACUAAAGCAGACUAAGAGGAUUAUUGUGUUUCCGUCUGGAGCUGAACUUCGUUUUUACACAGAAGAAGAAACAGCAAGGCUCUGACUGGAGGGUUGGUUGGGUGGUUGAUUGAUUGAUUGGUUGGUUGGGUGGUUGUUUGGUUGGUUGGUUGAUUGAUUGAUUGGUUGGUUGGUUGAUUGAUGAGGCUGACUGUGUUCCUGCUGCUCUGCUGCGUCUCGUUGUUGCACAGAGUUGACUGUCAUUUACCUGACGUCACACGUGUGAUGCGUCCACUGCAGGAAGAACAGAAUGAAGGAGGCGUGGCCUCUGGGUCAAACGUUGUCAGAUCUGCGAUGACAAAUGACGUCGCUCGACUUCCCGGACUCUGUCGACGUCUGAAGAGACGCAGAGUCACCGUCCUG